rfam:Nitrobacter hamburgensis X14 plasmid 1, complete sequence.
GAAAGCCGGAUGCGGGAAAUCCGCACGUCCGGUUUGAUGAGCGGGGACGGGAAACGGGGCAAUGCCAUCGCGCCCGUCCUCGACUCUAC